rnacentral:lncRNA from 1 species
UGCAAUGCAUGCAAGGGGUGCGUGGCAUCCAUAUAUAUAUAUAUGUAGAGUCCGGCUACUACACUAUCGAUAGUACCAAGUCCUUGGUACUAUUGAGUUUUCUAUUGUUAGAUCUACCCUUUGAUCAUUUCCACCCGUUAGAUUAUAAUAUUAAACCAACCACCCACUCAACCCUAGGGGACCACUAUCAUCCUAACCGCACAUCUUUUCAUUCAACGGCCGAAAACUCAAUAGUACCAAGAACUUGGUACUAUUGAUAGUAUAGUAGCAUAAUUCUAUAUAUAUAUAUAUA